rnacentral:rRNA from 1 species
GACGAACGCUGGCGGCACGCUUAACACAUGCAAGUCGAACGAGAGAAGAGAAGCUUGCUUUUCUGAUCUAGUGGCGGACGGGUGAGUAACACGUGAGCAAUCUGCCUUUCAGAGGGGGAUACCGAUUGGAAACGAUCGUUAAUACCGCAUAAUAUAAUUGAACCGCAUGAUUUGAUUAUCAAAGAUUUAUCGCUGAAAGAUGAGCUCGCGUCUGAUUAGCUAGUUGGUAAGGUAACGGCUUACCAAGGCGACGAUCAGUAGCCGGACUGAGAGGUUGAUCGGCCACAUUGGGACUGAGACACGGCCCAGACUCCUACGGGAGGCAGCAGUGGGGAAUAUUGCACAAUGGAGGAAACUCUGAUGCAGCGAUGCCGCGUGAGGGAAGAAGGUUUUAGGAUUGUAAACCUCUGUCUUCAGGGACGAAAAAAGACGGUAC